CAGCCGCCGCGGUAAUACGGAGGGUGCAAGCGUUAAUCGGAAUUACUGGGCGUAAAGCGCACGCAGGCGGUCUGACAAGUCAGAUGUGAAAUCCCCGGGCUUAACCUGGGAACUGCAUUUGAAACUGUCAGGCUGGAGUCUUGUAGAGGGGGGUGGAAUUCCAGGUGUAGCGGUGAAAUGCGUAGAGAUCUGGAGGAAUACCGGUGGCGAAGGUGGCCCCCUGGACAAAGACUGACGCUCAGGUGCGAAAGCGUGGGGAGCAAACAGGAUUAGAUACCCCUGUAGUCCCUGUCUCUUAUAC
rnacentral:rRNA from 1 species